GGAACAAUGUAGGCAAGG
rnacentral:snRNA from 1 species